rnacentral:rRNA from 1 species
UGGGGAAUAUUGCACAAUGGGGGAAACCCUGAUGCAGCCAUGUCGCGUGUGUGAAGAAGGCCUUCGGGUUGUAAAGCACUUUCAGCGAGGAGGAAAGGUUGAUGCCUAAUACGCAUCAGCUGUGACGUUGCUCGCAGAAGAAGCACCGGCUAACUCCGUGCCAG